GAUGAACGCUAGCGACAGGCUUAACACAUGCAAGUCGAGGGGCAGCAUAGAAGUAGCAAUACUUUGGUGGCGACCGGCGCACGGGUGAGUAACGCGUAUGCAACCUACCUAUCAGAGGGGAAUAACCCGGCGAAAGUCGGACUAAUACCGCAUAAAACAGGGGCACCGCAUGGUGAUAUUUGUUAAAGAAAUUCGCUGAUAGAUGGGCAUGCGUUCCAUUAGGUAGUUGGUGAGGUAACGGCUCACCAAGCCGACGAUGGAUAGGGGAACUGAGAGGUUGGUCCCCCACACUGGUACUGGGACACGGACCAGACUCCUACGGGAGGCAGCAGUGAGGAAUAUUGGUCAAUGGGCGAGAGCCUGAACCAGCCAAGUCGCGUGAAGGAAGAAGGAUCUAUGGUUCGUAAACUUCUUUUGCAGGGGAAUAAAGUUCAGGACGUGUCCUGUUUUGUAUGUACCCUGAGAAUAAGGAUCGGCUAACUCCGUGCCAGCAGCCGCGGUAACAC
rnacentral:rRNA from 1 species